rnacentral:rRNA from 1 species
CCAGCUCCAAUAGCGUAUAUUAAAAGUUGUUGCGGUUAAAAAAGCUCGUAGUUGGAUUUCUGUCGGUGAGUGGCAGUCCGGCCUCUGUGUUGUGUACUUGUCACGCCACCGGCAUCUUCCUAGGGACUGUGUCUGCUCUUCAUUGAGUGGCGCAUAAUCUAGGACUUUUUACUUUGAGGAAAUAGGAGUGUUUCAAGCAG